GUAGCUAUGUGUUUGAUCUCUCUCUCUCGUGUUCUUGAGAUGUCUUGAUCUCGAUGUACCAUGGGCUUUGCUACUAUAGUUGGAUCUUAUGAUGUUCUUCCCCCUCUCCCUCUUGUAAUGAAUUGAGUUUCUCCUUUGGAGUUAUCUUAUCGGAUUGAGUCUUUGAGAACACUUGAUGUAUGUCUUGCACGUGUCUAUCUGCUGUGAUCAACUUGCGGGUUUGUGACAUUGGGAAC
rnacentral:lncRNA from 1 species